AUUGAACGCUGGCGGCAUGCCUUACACAUGCAAGUCGAACGGCAGCACGGGUGCUUGCACCUGGUGGCGAGUGGCGAACGGGUGAGUAAUACAUCGGAACAUGUCCUGUAGUGGGGGAUAGCCCGGCGAAAGCCGGAUUAAUACCGCAUACGAUCUACGGAUGAAAGCGGGGGACCUUCGGGCCUCGCGCUUUAGGGUUGGCCGAUGGCUGAUUAGCUAGUUGGUGGGGUAAAGGCCUACCAAGGCGACGAUCAGUAGCUGGUCUGAGAGGACGACCAGCGACACUGGAAAGGAGACACGGUCCAGACGAGUACGGGAGGCAGCAGUGGGGAAUGGUGGACAAUGGGCGAAAGACUGAAGGAGCAACGCCGCGUGAGUGAAGAAGGCCUGCGGGUUGGAAAGAUAUUUUAUGAGGGAAGAAGAGAUGGAGGGGAAUAUAGUCAGGUAAUGACGGUACAUGAAGAAUAAGACACGGCUAACUACGUG
rnacentral:rRNA from 1 species